AGGAGGGCCAGUCGGGCCCGAUUGUCGACGACUUCUACCAUCGGAAGGAGCAGGAGCGCCAGGCCGUGAAGAUGAUGCGCACGGCCGAGGGCGGCAAGGCAGGAGGCUACAACGACCG
rnacentral:SRP_RNA from 1 species